rnacentral:rRNA from 1 species
CCUACGGGAGGCAGCAGUGGGGAAUUUUGGACAAUGGGCGAAAGCCUGAUCCAGCCAUUCCGCGUGAGUGAAGAAGGCCUUCGGGUUGUAAAGCUCUUUCGCAAGGGAAGAAAACUUAGUCUCUAACAUAGACUGAGGUUGACGGUACCUUGAUAAGAAGCACCGGCUAACUACGUGCCAGCAGCCGCGGUAAUACGUAGGGUGCGAGCGUUAAUCGGAAUUACUGGGCGUAAAGCGUGCGCAGGCGGUUUUGUAAGUCAGAUGUGAAAUCCCCGAGCUCAACUUGGGAACUGCGUUUGAAACUACAAGACUAGAAUAUGUCAGAGGGGGGUAGAAUUCCACGUGUAGCAGUGAAAUGCGUAGAGAUGUGGAGGAAUACCAAUGGCGAAGGCAGCCCCCUGGGAUAAUAUUGACGCUCAUGCACGAAAGCGUGGGGAGCAAACAGGAUUAGAUACCCUGGUAGUCCACGCCCUAAACGAUGUCUACUAGUUGUUGGUGGAGUAAAAUCCAUGAGUAACGCAGCUAACGCGUGAAGUAGACCGCCUGGGGAGUACGGUCGCAAGAUUAAAACUCAAAUGAAAUUGACGG